CCUACGGGAUGCAGCAGUGAGGAAUAUUGGUCAAUGGGCGCAAGCCUGAACCAGCCAAGUCGCGUGAGGGAUGACGGUCCUAUGGAUUGUAAACCUCUUUUGUCGGGGAGCAAGGCCCGCCACGUGUGGCGGGAAGGAGAGUACCCGAAGAAAAAGCAUCGGCUAACUCAGUGCCAGAAGCCGCGGUAAUACGGAGGAUGCGAGCGUUAUCCGGAUUUAUUGGGUUUAAAGGGUGCGUAGGCGGAAUGUUAAGUCAGCGGGAAAAUGUCGUUGCUCAAAACCGGCCUGCCGUUGCAACUGGUCUUCUUGAGUGAGCGAGAAGUAUGCGGAAUGCGUGGUGUAGCGGUGAAAUGCAUAGAUAUCACGCAGAACUCCGAUUGCGAAGGCAGCAUACCGGCGCUCAACUGACGCUGAGGCACGAAAGCGUGGGGAUCGAACAGGAUUAGAUACCCCAGUAGUC
rnacentral:rRNA from 1 species